rnacentral:tRNA from 1 species
GCCUGGGUGGCUCAGUGGUUGAGCGUCUGCCUUCGGCUCAGGUCAUGAUUCCGGGGUCCUGGGAUCGAGUCCCACAUCAGGCU